AACGAACGCUGGCGGCAUGCCUAACACAUGCAAGUCGAACGGGAUCCUAGCUUGCUAGGUGAGAGUGGCGGACGGGUGAGUAACACGUGGGAAUCUGCCUUUUGGUUCGGGAUAACCGCGGGAAACUGCGGCUAAUACCGAAUGCCCUCGAGAGAGGAAAGAUUUAUCGCCAGAAGAGGAGCCCGCGUCCGAUUAGGUAGUUGGUGGGGUAAAGGCCUACCAAGCCGACGAUCGGGUAGCUGGUCUGAGAGGAUGAUCAGCCACACUGGGACUGAGAUACGGCCCCAGACUCCUACGGGAGGCAGCAGUGGGGAAUAUUAGGGACAAGUGGGGGGCGAACCCUGAUCCAGCAAUGCCGCGUGAGUGAUG
rnacentral:rRNA from 1 species